GCGCUAUUAGUGCAUUGGUUCAUACGCCCCCUUUGAAAGGGUGAAACGUGGGUUCAACCCUCACAUGGUGUC